AAGGUGAUCUAUUUGAAUAUGAGUUUCUCUUUCCGUUAGCUUUUUAAAGUAUUAUAUUUCGUUUUUGAAAUAUCUUAUUGUUAAAAACAUCAAACAUUCGAUGAAAAUUAUAGUUAAAGAUGAGUUUGGGAGUUGAUGACAGCACUGGAUGAGACACAAUGACAAAAACAGGCAACGAGAGCAAGAUGACGAGGAAAAAUAACUUGACAAGAAUAAGUAACAUGGCUAGGGAAAGAUGUGUGAUAAAAACAAUUGAAGGAGGCAUUGAGUGGGUGCGGAAAAAAAAUAAAAAAUAAAUGUAAUAUGUU
rnacentral:lncRNA from 1 species